GACGAACGCUGGCGGUGUGCUUAACACAUGCAAGUCGAACGGUAAGGCCCUUUCGGGGGUACACGAGUGGCGAACGGGUGAGUAACACGUGAGUAACCUGCCCUCAUCUCUGGGAUAACAGUCGGAAACGGUUGCUAAUACUGGAUAUGAGCUUGCAAGGCAUCUUGUGGGUUGGAAAGAUUUUUUUUGGUUGGGGAUGGACUCGCGGCCUAUCAGCUUGUUGGUGAGGUAGUGGCUCACCAAGGCUUCGACGGGUAGCCGGCCUGAGAGGGCGACCGGCCACAUUGGGACUGAGAUACGGCCCAAACUCCUACGGGAGGCAGCAGUGGGGAAUAUUGCACAAUGGACGGAAGUCUGAUGCAGCAACGCCGCGUGCGGGAUGACGGCCUUCGGGUUGUAAACCGCUUUCAAUUGUGACGAAGCCUUUUUUGUGACGGUAGCAGUAGAAGAAGCACCGGCUAACUACGUG
rnacentral:rRNA from 1 species